rnacentral:rRNA from 2 species
UUGGGAAGUCCUUGUGUUGCAUUCCC